UACAGAGGUCUCAAGCGUUGUUCGGAUUCAUUGGGCGUAAAGGGUGCGUAGGCGGCGCGGUAAGUCGGGUGUGAAAUUUCGGAGCUUAACUCGAAACUGCAUUCGAUACUGCCGUGCUUGAGGACUGGAGAGGAGACUGGAAUUUACGGUGUAGCGGUGAAAUGCGUAGAUAUCGUAAGGAAGACCAGUGGCGAAGGCGGGUCUCUGGACAGUUCCUGACGCUGAGGCACGAAGGCCAGGGGAGCAAACGGGAUUAGAACCUACCGAGUCAGAC
rnacentral:rRNA from 1 species